ensembl:lncRNA
UAUGCUUGUACCCAUAUAUAUAUAUAUAUAUAUAUAUAUAUAUAUAUAUAUAUAUAUACAUAUAUAUUAUACUUUGUGUUCCUAAAUAUAUAUACAUACUCACAAAUAUAAAUACACAAAUUACAUUAAUACAUGCACGUACGUACUUAUAGAUAUAUGUACAUUUCUUUAAUAUGGGUAAUAAAGUGUCUGACACUAAACGGAAAAAAUUUAUUUUAUACAAAGAUAUAAAAAAUAGGAUUAAAACAAAAAAUAACUUUGAUGCUAGAAAUAAUAUUUUUAUUUCUGAGACCCAUGAAAAAAAAUUAGUUAAUUUAAACAACGAAAUUUUUGAUUUUUAUUGUUCAUUUCAAGAUAAUGAAGAAUAUAAAACUGAAAAUGUACAUGAACAGGAGUUGGAACAGAAAGAAAAAAAUACAAACAGCAAUAUUAUAAUAAAAUUUAACAAACAUAUAAACAAUAACAAACAAUUAAAUACUACAUAUACUAAUUUAAAAAAAGAACUUUUAAAAGAAAGUGUAGUAAUUGAAAGUAAUAAUAGUUUUGAACAUUCGGGAGAAUGUAAAGACGAUAAUAAAAAAAAAAAAAAAUCUAUUACUACCACAAAAGAUGAAAAAAAAUCAUUUGAACUGGAUUAUGGUAUUUUUUAUAAUAUAGAAGAGAAAAUUGAUAUAAAUUAUAAAAAUAAGUCUCUCAAUUCAAAUGUAAAAACAACGAUAUCAACAGAUAAAAAUGUUGAAACAAUAAAUGAAAAUUUGGAUGAGUUAAAAAAUAAAAAACAAAUAAAAAAUACUCUAUUAAAAAAACAAACAACUCAAACAAAUUUAAAAAAAAUCAUAAAUAACAAUGAACAAUGUUCUAUUAUUAAAAAAGAAAAAGAUAAAAAUAAUAAUAACAACGUCAACCAAAUAACAACACCUCUAUGCAUUAAUGGUAACAGCAACAGUAGUAUUAAUAAUAAACAGGUAAAUACAACCUUAUUAAAAACAAAUAAUUUAAUUUUAGAAUCAAAUCAAAAUAACAAACGCGAAGAUAUACUCACAUGCGAUGACAACAAUAAUGACACUUUAACCAAUGAUAAUUUUUCCAAUACGUACAAAACACUUAAUAAAAAAAAAGAAGAAGAAGAAGAAGAAGAAACAAAAAAUAUAUAUACUUAUCACAAAUCAAACGAAAACAAUAAAAACAAUCAUGUUUUCAUAAAAUUAUUAAAAAAAAAAAAAAUAUUACAAAAUAUAUUAUCUUUUUUAAAUUGUUCUGAACUAUUAGAAUUUCAAAAAACAUGUUCUAUCAUUUAUAUAUAUGUCAGUGAUUUCUUGGAUUACAUAUGUUUAAAUAUAUUCUAUAAAUUUCAAAAAACAUACCAACAAUAUUUUACACCUUUUAAUUUUUUUUAUAAAUAUGAAUGCCUUUACACGGAUAAACCGUCUUAUCGCUUAGAUUGUAUUUUAAUUGCAAAGGUAACACAUUUACAUGCAAAGAGAUAAGUACAUACACAAUUUUGGGGUUUUCUUUGUUUCCUCGCUUUUCAAACGCAUACAUACAUACAAGCAUACGUACAUA